GUUAUAUGGUCAAGUGACUAAGCGUAUACGGUGGAUGCCUUGGCAGUCAGAGGCGAUGAAGGACGUUGGAGCCUGCGAAAAGUCUCGGGGAGGUGGCAACCAACCUUUGAUCCGGGAAUGUCCGAAUGGGGAAACCCACCCAAUGUAAGUUGGGUAUCGUUAAGUGAAUACAUAGCUUAACGAAGCGAACGCGGGGAACUGAAACAUCUAAGUACCCGUAGGAAGAGAAAUCAAUUGAGAUUCCCUCAGUAGCGGCGAGCGAACGGGGACUAGCCUGCAAGUGAUAGCAGUGGUGUUAGUGGAACGGUCUGGAAAGUCCGGCGAUAGAGGGUGAUAGCCCCGUACACGAAAACACCGUUGUGGUACUGAGCUUGCGACAAGUAGGUCGGGACACGAG
rnacentral:rRNA from 1 species